rnacentral:rRNA from 1 species
AACGAACGCUGGCGGCAUGCCUAACACAUGCAAGUCGAACGAAUGGUUUCGGCCAUUAGUGGCGCACGGGUGAGUAACGCGUGGGAAUCUGCCCAGCAGUGGGGGAUAACCUCUGGAAACGGAGGCUAAUACCGCAUACGCCCCUCGGGGGAAAGGCUUGCUGCUGCUGGAGGAGCCCGCGUCGGAUUAGGUAGUUGGUGGGGUAACGGCCUACCAAGCCUGUGAUCCGUAGCUGGUCUGAGAGGAUGAUCAGCCACACUGGGACUGAGACACGGCCCAGACUCCUACGGGAGGCAGCAGUGGGGAAUAUUGGACAAUGGGCGCAAGCCUGAUCCAGCAAUGCCGCGUGAGUGAUGAAGGCCUUCGGUUGUAAGACUCUUCGUCCCACGACGAUGAUGACGGUAGUGGGAGAAGAAG